rnacentral:lncRNA from 1 species
UCAGCCUUCACGCGCCGCCCCGACUCCUCCUGCUCGGUCCCUGCCGCCGUCGCUUCUCCUUCUUUCUCUCCAUGCCGCGUCGCAGCUCUGUUCUUCAUCUCUGAUUGUCGUCGGCUGCUACACCCUUUCGUCUCAGGUCUCAGGUAAUAAAUUUUGUAUAUUACAGAUUUUUAGAUGAUUUUUUUCGCUACAUCAAUUAUUACUUUGUUACGUGUUGAGUUAAUUGGCUACUUUUACUUCAGUUCUUAGAAACAAGAUUGUUGAAAUAAGAAAUAGGUUAAUUUAGAUAUGUACAGGGAAAGCUAUAAAUUUCGCAAUUCUGAAUUCACGUUUUUGGAGAAAACUAUUCAUAAGCUUGAUUUUGGGUCCGAACUGAAACUCACUGGUAAUUUCAAACUAAGUUGACUCAUUAAUUAAAAUUGAGGAGAGGAUGUAAAUAUGGAUUUGAGAAGAAAGAAGUAUCUGAUUUUCUGGUAAUUUCAAAAUAAGUUGCAAUUAUAAUAUUUUGGAAAUACAAUUAGUAACUUUUCACUCUGCUUCAACUGGUGUGAGUCAGCCGAUUGUUUCCUUGUACUAAGUUAGUGCACCAUUUCGGAGUAUAUUUUCUUAUAGCCUGAAAUAUAUAGUUAAUUUGAUUCUUGGUUCAUUUGCUCGACCAAAUCGUGUAUGUGAAUUCUCAAAUGCUUCAAGAUACAGUUUGUUAUAAUGUUACACGACUUCAUACUUUUGCCUCCAUUGAGCCAAAAUUUGGUCUUACUAAAGCUUGUUCUGCAGUAGUUCGUUCCUCAAACUUAGGAUUAACCAUAUAUUCAACAAUUGAAUUGUCUUUUCUAAUGACAUUGAUAAGCUUGGGUGCACAAGAUUUAGUCCUCUUCUAGGGACCAAAGAAUACUUAUCAUUUUUGAUUGGGGGAAGAAAUGAUGUUAUAGGAGUUUGAAUAUAUGACUUGCUACUCUGAAUCAUGAUAAAUAACCAAUGAAACUAAAAGCUAGAAAGUUUAGUUUUUGUUCAUAUUUUGAAAUAUAAAAAGUUUAAACAUUUGCUCAUAUUUUUACCAUCUAUAGUUAUUCACAUUUUGAAUGACUAAUUGUAAUAAUUUGUGUGUUAUAGGUAGGUUUCUCUUUUAUCUUUUAGCCUCCUAUUGAGUAUUGAGUUUGGUUUCCCCAGAUUUUUAUAAUCUUAAUUGCGGAAUCAUCUCAUGAGCUGAAGAUUAUGGGAAGUUUCAAUCGAAAGAGUGUUUGUUGUUAUUGUUGUUUCUUUCUUUUUUUUUUUUAAAAAAAUUAUAUACAUAUAUAUAUUAAUUCUAUACAAGUCCUGAAGUCUAUAUGUUUCUAUUUUAUGUCCUUAUCAGUUAUCACAUCGAAUCUUACGUCCAUGUUAUAUUAAUUAAAGUAUGAUAAAGUUUGGUUUGAAGAAAAAGUCUAUGAGCGGAGUGGAAGGGGUUGGAUCAUGUGUUUUCCAUGAUUUUAUAUUUUGUUUUGGAAGGAGAAUGAGCACAUUUGGAGUGGGUUAAUUCAAAAUCUUGUUUUCCAUUAACAUUUUAACUGACUAUGAUACACUUGAAGGAGCAUUUUCCUCAUUAAUCAUGUUAAUACCAUUAACACAUGGAUUUUUGAGCAGAUAACAAUCUAAACUGAAGUGGAGAGCACGAAGGGAUGGGCCCUAGAUCACUAAUUCAGAGGGUAACACCAUACUUGGUGGCACGUAUCAAGGAGAAUCAAAGGCUUCUUAGCUCUUCUGCUUCAGCCUAUCAAGAAGCAUUGCCUUUGUCUCCAUCUCCAUCCCCAUCUGCCCCUGUUGAUACCAUUCACAUGACUGAUAGUUGCAUUCGGGUAUUCUAUAUAUAUAUCCUUUUUUGCACAUACAUUUGGUAGAUGAAUUCUUCAUCCAUUUCACUGUUGUCCUCUGGUUUAGUUCUUGAUUUUCUGGAUUAUUCUCUUAUGGUGCGCCAUCCAGGGCUAUAGUUUUUGGGUUUCAGGAUCCUAAUAAAUUGUUGUGCCUUUUAGGUUCUUCAAAUUCAAUUAAUUAAAUGAAUUUUGAGCAUUUCUCUUGUUACCUUAGCAGUUCAACCUAUAUUGGUGUUCAUAGAGCAGUCACGAUUUACAUUUUUGCUUAGUUUUGACAUGCCUUGCAGAGAAUGAAAGAAUUGCAAGAUCCCAAGGAAGAAAAGAUGCUUCGCUUGAGUGUAGAAACUGGGGGGUGUUCUGGAUUUCAAUAUGUUUUCAAUUUGGAUGGAAAAACCAAUCCUGAUGAUAGGUUUGACAAAUAUUAACUCAGUGAUUACUGCUUACUUGGUUUUUCACGUAAAGUUUGUCUCUGAUGUUUGAUUUUACGUAAAAAAAAGUUUCCUCUAUUUUUCAUGUUUGCAGGAUAUAUGAGAAAGAGGGAGUUAAAUUGGUAGUUGAUAACAUCUCAUACGAUUUUGUAAAAGGAGCAACAAUUGAUUAUGUUGAAGAGCUGAUUCGUUCUGCUUUUGUUGUAAGUGAAACUUAUCUCUCAUUGUUGCUGCCUCAUUGCUUUUGCUUAGAUAUGUUUAUUUCAUACCAAUGUGUGGACCAUAGCAAAUUAUAGUUCUAUGACAUCUAUUCAAGUAAUGGAGUAAUGAUAAAGAAAGUUGAAAUACUGAAAACAAACUUCCACUAACGCCAUCCUUAGAAUAUUUAUCCUUUGACUAUUACACCAUGCCUUUUAUGGAAUCUCUCUCCCUUCAUAAGGACUGUUUCGGUAUCUUAUUUAGAGUAUUAUUUACGUUGAGAAAUAUACUGAGAUGUAAAUCCUCCAGCCCUUAGCUGGUAAACUCUUCACACUGUAGAUUCUUACCUGAUAUUUACACUCGAUGACCACUCUCGUCUACCUUCCUCAUUUUUAUGUAUGCACUCGACUUCUAACUGUAAGAGGUGGCGUUCUCCAUUUUGCUCUUCCUUGAAUAUAUGUGAACUGUAGAAUAUAACUUAGGAAAAGUUUUCAUUGCCUCGUCAGUAUGGAUACUUCUCUAAUUCUUUGUAACUGCUCCAGUUUCGUUUUAGAAUGAUGUGGGUAUAGCAACAAUCUAAAAUGUUUAGUUCAGAAAAUUUUUAGUGUGAACAAUAAGUAGAUGGUGAUACUAAAGAAUUCUUAAGAAUUUCUCCUCGAAGCUACAGCUUGGCUAAAGAAACAUUUUAUUGAUAGAUGAAAUCAAAGAACUCCAAAACACCAAAGAAAAGAGACAAAGAAAGGUGUUUACAAAAGAGACUGCCAAUUAGUAACUAAGAAAGAUAAAAGUAUUAUGUUUGAAAGGAAAAGAAAGAAAAGAAAAAGCAAAAAGAAAGUGAUGUACCCUUGAGCAGUACGAUCUACAAGUCGUAUUUUAUCCAAAACUUCCCUAUGGAAUCCUAUCUAACCCAUCUUAGGAUCUGUUUAGAUUGACUAGAGAAAAAAUGUUUUUUCAAAAAGUCAUUUUUAUCCUAGGUUGGCCGUUGGCGGCAACUGGCGAGAGAGAUGGCUGGCGUUGGCAACUGGAAGAGGGUUAGGGCAGAGAGGGUUGGUGGUCUCCUGGGGAGAAUCGGAGAAGAGAAGGUGGAGUGCGUGAAGCUUUUCGUUUUAAGAGAAUAAGAAAAAAAACCCUAAAAAUUAUUGCCAUUGGGCCGGACUAAUGUGCCGUUUCUAUGGGUUUUUUUUCCAGCCAUGUUAGGACCGUGUUCAAAAUUUUAAAAAAAUCGACAUGCCAGCUGGUGUGUCAGUGUUGGAAACGUGUUCGACACUGAUACUUGGCCAUCUUAGGAGCGUCGAUGCUUCUUAGUUUUUAUUUAAACUCUUUUGAUAAAAAUAUUUAAAAUAAACUUUAAAAGUGUUUCAAAAGCUAUUUUGAGUAGUUGGUAAACUCUUUGGUUUUUCUCCAAAUAACUGCAAAUUAAGUGAUUGGAAAGUGAAAACGAACCCACGUGGGAUUAUUUGCACUGCAGAAGUUGAAUUCUUGUUACGUGCAGGUGAGUACAAAUCCAAGUGCCGUUGGUGGGUGUAGUUGUAAAAGUUCUUUCAUGGUCAAACAAUAAUCAUCUCAAAGCUUCCUUCAGUUGGACCCUUUCCUACAAGGCGUACACAAUUAUCAACGCUGACCUGAAGGUAUGAUGAGUAUGUUUAUCACUCAGUUACACUACUGAUUAUAAACCUAUGUUUUAUUUAAUCCCAUUUUAUGUAUCAUUUUAUACAUUCAUAUUUAUGUACCACUUCUGUAUCAUCUGGGAACUGCAUUCUUUGUUGCAUUGAAAUCCAAAUAAGCAAAAUAUAAACUGAUUCAUCAUAAUCAAACUUGAACUUAAGACUUCCCUGUUAUUCUGAUGUUGAGUUUGCAAUAAUUAAUUACACUUUGUACAUAGAAAUUUCCACGACACUGGAUUCAUCUACUGAGUAAAUCACUUGCAAUAUUGUAAUCGCAAUCACUAGUGGAUUUACUAUGGACCUAAAGGUGCUCGAGCCCCCCUCAACUAUAUGAUAUAUGUAUAUAUAUCUAAAUUUGACAUUGUAUCGAUACAAUUAGCUAGCCUGACGGUAAAUCUGGCUUCCAGCCCCUCUAGACUCUUUACAUUUGUUUUCAUAUUAUUUUUAUUGGUAUAUGAAAUUUUCGUUAAUAAAAUUUCUGGAUCUGCCACUAGUUGUAAUCGCGUAUAAUUCUUUCGGAUAUGACUAUCAGUAUCAACAUCACUAGAUUUAGAGGAUAAAUUACUGUUGAGAAGAUGCCACGAUAUUCUUGUUUUUAGAAUCCUAAUUAAACCUAUUGUUUCUUAGAAGCUCAUUAUUGAGGUAACACCAUAUGUUUAGGUAUAUGAAUGUGAUUUUGAUAUAGUUAAAAUCAUGCUUUUAAUUCUUUAAAAUCAAUUUUGAUAUAUGAAAAAUACAUUUAAAAGUGAAAAAUUAAACCUCAAAAUGAUUAUGAAUGAUUAGAAUUAUUUUGUGGAGUGAUUUUAAACCUAACAAAAGUGAUUUUAAAAUUUUCAAAAUCACAUUUUAAUACUUUUUUUAUUUGAUACAUGGAGUUAGGGGGAUAGAACCUCUAACUUUAAAGUUAAUAGUAUAAAAGUUAUGUUACCUAAAUUAUGUUCAAUUUUAAGAUCAUUAAUUUCUAAGCAUGCACGUAUGUGAGUUUGUCAAGGUCGUCAUUAUUAAGAAUCUAAAUUAAUUUCAUACCUUUUAUAUCUAAUAUAAGGUUUGUCAAUGCGUAUUAGAAUUGUUAAAGCAAAUAUAGAUCGGUAUAUUAUUUGAUUUUAACAAUUAUUUGUUUUGCAAGGACAAAGAAAUGUGUAGGGUCCCCUUACUUGAAAACAUGUCCUAAGGUAUGAGUUUGUGGACAAUAAAGGUGGAAGCCAUGAUGGCAAAGCACAUGCUUACUGCACAAACAAAAUAGUAUCACAUUAUGAAGCUUACACCUUUUCAUUUCAUAUUUGGUUAUAAAAUGGAAACUUAUGGUAAACCAAUGACAUUAUGAGUUUGGAAUUUUGGUGAUUUUUGGUUUUGAAAUGAUCACGCCAUCUUUCUUCUUUCUCCAUUCUUAUCUUUUACGAUGGAUUAUAAACUUUUCUUUUCCAAGCAGUGUUUUAAAAAGCUCUCUUCACCAUAGACGCAUUUGGAGGCAGACCUUUUGUGAAGCUCCAACCCUCUAAACUUUUGGUUCUGAGGCUUUAUCGUUUUUUAAAAUAGUUAUAAUUAAAAUGUUUACCUUUCAAGGUUUGGACUUUGGAGUCUCACUUUUCGUAAGACUCACAAAAUAAGGUCAACCUUUUGUGAAGCCCCAAUGUACUUUUAGUUGAGUUUUUUUUUCCCAUUAUUUUCAACAAUGAUAAUAAUUAAAGUCUUCUUUUUCAUUAAAAAGAAGAAUCAAAUUCACUAAGUUUAAAUGGAAGAUUCCUUCAUGUUUAUUUUUUUCCUGCCCUCUUCUUUUAUAAACACGUUAAAGAAUAUAUUACUAGUAUGCAAUCAAUAUUGUCACUUCAUAUGAUUUCUAAGACAUUUUUUUUUUAACAUAAUAAGAGUAGAAAAGUUUGAACAGUGGACCUAUUGAUCGUUAACAUAUGUCUAUGUUAGUUAAAUUAUGCUUAUCAGAUUUUUUUUUUUUUGAAAUUGUUGUAUGUUAUUUUAUGAUAUUAGUUUGCAGCAAAACAAUUGUUUUAAGUUUUAUAAUUUAAUUUCAAUCAAUUUGUUUACUUGAAAAAUAGUGGAGAUAAAUUAAUUUUGAAUAUUGAAAUAUAAUAACUCAUAUAUAUUAUUUGGAAGAUAUUAUGAUGAGAUAAUAGGAAGGAAGUCCAAUAUGUUAUAUAAAGAAUGAGGUAUGAAGCUUGAAAAGGCAUAUUGCUAUAACCAACCAUCAUUAUUUGGCUUUCACAAGUAGAUUUGCAAACACAAUGUCAAGAUUUCAAUGCCAAUUUGAUUUUACUAAAAUUCCAUGAAGUGGAAUGAUCCUUUUUUUUUUCCUUUUAUAUUAAUAAGAAUAUGUUAAAUACUUUUGAACUUUUUAAUUUCAAAUUUGUAUUUAGAAACAUUUUGACUUACCAAUUUUUAAUUUCAAGUUCUUUGUUUUUGUGUUUUUGUAUAUGAUCGCUAGAGUUAGAUGUUGAAAAUGAUUGAUGUAAUUGGUCAAAGUUCACCUCUAGAGAUGGUAGCUACGCGAAGUUGAACGUUAGAGACGAUCGAUAGAGGUGAUUGUCAAAACAUGUUGCUUGAGUGAGACAGUAGUAGUUGACUGUGGUUGUUGUCAAAGCAUGCAUGUCACCAACGAUAAUGCUUGUUGAUGGAGUUUGUCGUCGGCGAAAGUUGAUAGGUGAAGUUGUAGAAACAUUUUGAGAAGAGAGAGGAAGAAAAAAGUGUAAGAUAAGAAGAUAAAGUUUCUCGAUAAAUGUGCAAACUUGAACUUCAACUAAGAAUAAAAGCAGUAUUGAGGUUGGUGAGAUUGAGUUAUUUAAACAAACUUGUAAAGUUGAUAUAUUGAACACUAAGUUGAGUUUUCGACUCAACUAAACCUUCGUCAAUGAUCCCAAACAUCUCAUAGUCAUUUUUAUAAGAAAAAGUACCAAAUACCAUAAAUAGAAUAUUGAUCAUAACCGUGAAGAAAUUGAGAUAAUGUGUGGUAUUACUUAAUCAUAUGCAACCCAAACCAAAUAUGACAAUCCUCACUAUCAUCAAAUGAGUAAUCAAAACACUCAACCUACAUAGCCUAUUGGGAGAUCACAACCUAAGUUACAUACUUCUUUGGUUUAAUUUUUAUAUUUUUACGAACGAUUUAUUUUGGUCUAUGUACUUUGAACAAUUUAUGAAAUUACAUGUACCAAAGUAGUAUUUAAACGUUUAUUUUUUAAGAAUGUCAACACAUAGGGUGUGUAAAUCUCAAAAUUACUUUUUCCUUUACCAAAAUCACUUUUCAUUCAAAUGAUUGGGUUUUACAUUGACAAAAAUUGAUUUUAGAAAAAUAUAAAAUCAUUUUAAAUUGAUUUGCGAUGAAUUAAGUGAUUGAUGGAAAAUCGCUCCUAAAAUGUGAUAGAACUAAGUCAUGCACAGCGGAAAAAGAAUCGAAUUUCUACCAUAAUUGCCACAAUUAACAUCUAACCAUAAACUAAUCAAAUUAGGGUUUUAAGAAGUAUUACCUUUGAAGCUUUCAAAAGGUUUGAUGUCUUCUUACCAAUUCUACCCGAGACCACCACUAGUACUCAACUGCUAUCCUCUAGACAAAGAACCGGGUUGUGGGACCCAAUUUUGGUGUAGAAAGUAAUGGAGAUAAAAUGAGAUUGGAAGCUUUCUUUUUUCUUUUGUUGAGAUUAUGAAAAUGAUAAAAGAGGCAAAAGUCCUUCAACAUUUGAA